GCAGGGGUCGCCUAGUCUGGUCAAUGGCGCGAGAGGGGUAUAAGUAACUGCUUUCCCUUUGCGACGCUUAAGACCUCGUCCCUUAGUGGGUUCGUGAGUUCAAAUCUCACCCCCUGCA
rnacentral:tRNA from 1 species